CUCUUCCACCCACGUGAGCCGGUCUUUCCUUACUGUUUAAUUUCUCGUCUGCGGCGCUCUUUGUGUGGGGCUUUUCCUUAGGAAGACAAAUCGUUGGUCGCAUGUGCCACUCAAGCAACCACAGAAACCCAAGUAGUUCUGUUUGGCAGAAGCCCGUUUCUUAGCCACACAUCUCUCUUUUUCUGAAGGCUGAACGUAGAAGGUAAGAGAACUCCCGUGGUUUGUGCCUGAGUACCCGCACGUGCUCGAAGAGGGCCGCGUCGAAGAGGUGGUGAAACUAUGCAGGAAGGCCACACCUGUGCUGCGAAAAAAAAGAAAAACAGCAGCAACAGCAUAAUAAUCCUUUCCGCGCAUAAUCACCACAUUGUGUUUCUGAUUUCCGCACAACAGUCUAUUCCUUACUCAACAUGUCACUAGGGGAUGCUAUCAAUUUACUGCGUGAGGUGUACGCGAGCACCAACAACGACCAUCGAAAAAGCUGCACUCUCCAACUGCUGCAGUGGGAGAAGGCUCUGCAGGCUGCAGACGCGGUACGGAUCGGUAUUGAACUUCUUAAGACGUCCAACGAAGGUGUGGCAGUUCAGGCGUACGGUGCGGUUCUGCUGCGCCAUGCCCUGCACGCUCGCGUGCUACAACCCGCACAACUGCCUCUGAUGGAUUUACUCUCUUGGUACUGCAACGAGCCGACCUUAGGGCCUUUGCUGCGGGCGGACUUGAUGGAGCUUCUUAUCGAGUGCGUAAUCUACUCGGAUGACGCGGUGAUAGGCCAAGUACUGGGGUCCCUGUGUACAGGGAUCGAGUCGCAACCGCGUCGGAUGCUGCUUCUGAGCGAGAUGACAGUGGCGCUGGUCGACCCUGAUUUCGAUCGUGUGCCGCGCGAGUCUAUCGGGAAGCUGAAGCGCAGUGUGACCAAGCAGGGAAGCCAGCUACUGAAUGCCGCUACCAUGAGUCUCUACACAUACUACGUGACCUCCGGCGGCGAGCAGUCCACGGCACUGGCGCCGGACUUAGAGCCGUGCGUCGAGGCUGCGUUCAAGGUGAUUGGCACCCUCGCGCCUCAACUACCGUUCUCUGCGUGGCAAGAGAAUAACCUGGCAGCAACAAUGGAGGUACUGCUGCGAUGGGUGCCGGCGCAGCGCCCGGUGCUAACCUGCGCCACCAGCCUACUGCGCUGCUACUCAGCCGGCGAUGUCAGCAAAGCGGCCAUCCUGCGCGUUCUGCUCAGCAUUGUGCUGCGGAAGAUACCCGCACUGGUUGCUAGUGGUGACAUUGCCGCACUGGAUGAAAUUCUCAACUUGGCGUUGGAGCUUCCCAAGGACUUUGUACAGCUGGAGGGGGUGCUACUGGUGCAGAGCAUCAUGUCAGUCUUUUCCGUACCGAGCAUCCUGUUCGGGCAGGAGGCUGUGCAGCUGAUGGAGCGCAUGGGAGAGGAGACGUUUCGCCAUGUGGACGCGAUCGAAAUCUACAACGGGCUGCGUCUGUUGCUCCCCAAGAACUUAUGUCACCCUGUGCAAGGCACGAACCCGGAAGGGCAAGAGCUCUCUCGAGAGCAGUUUGGAUUCGAGCAGCUGUUUGAGGAGGUCUUUGCUGACUUCCGGCGAGGUGCAAGCAAGAUCUUGACUCAGCUAGCUCGCAUGUACCCGGAGCGCACGAACCAGUAUCUGCUGAGCCUCUUGGGCGACCUUCCUGACCCUCGAGGCACCCCCGGAGACCCGCGCACCCGCAGCCGCUUCGUACGGCAGAGCAGCCUAACGUUCGUCUGCUGGGAGGCCACCCAGUUCAUGAUGGAGUACCUCUCGGCCGCUUUCGAGUACUCGACUGUGAGCGUCAACGCGUGCGUGUCGACUUUGCUGGCCCACGAGCCCUCUGACGCGGUGCUCAGACCUGUGUACUUUAACAUGAUCUCUUACUUCUGGAAGGUGCGCGACGGCGAUGUCAUGAAUGUAUGGGAGGGGACCAUCAAUAUCCUUCUGAACUGCAUCAACGACGAGAGUAGUCGGUACACCGACGACAUCGACGUCUCGGCUGCACGGCGCCGGGCUCACACCUUACUGGUGCAAAUGUGUGUCGAGCACAGCCGCCGCUUUUUACCACGGACGCCUUCUCUGAUCAAACAGCUGGAGCCGAUGCUGAUGCGCGCGAAUGGGAUGGAGCGCUCACUCCUGUACGAGGCCCUUAUCGCACUAACGGCUGUUCUGCCGGCGCACGAGUCCGACGCGUACUUGCAGACAAUUGUGAACCCGCUUGUGAACAUGCUGGCCACCUCUCCAGCUCUGAAAGACCAAAACGCCUUCAAUAACAUAAUGUGCGCGGGUACGCCAGACGACAAGGACGCGAGGGGCGUGCUGCAGGGAUGCUUGAACACGAUUGCCGCCGUCUUCCGGCGUUGCCAGAUGACACCAUACGUGAUAGAGAAGGCAACGCAACUGUUUCCACUGAUCGGGCAGCUGCUCUUGAGCAUCCACAGCAUGCAGCCGAGCGAUCUGCCUCCCGAGUACCGCAGCAUUCUCGAGCAGGAACCGGGGGAGAGAGAUCUGUUUCUGCCCGGUAAGACACGCAAGAGUGAUGCGCACUUGGUCAACACAGUGCGUGGAGCUCGCGCCACGCUGAUGAACAUUCGUAUUGCUCUAUACCAAGUCUUUGGAGAACUGAGCCCCAUUUUGCCAGCGGAACGGUUUGGUGAGGUCAUCACUGCCCUCACAACCAGCGCUCAGAUACCCACGCAUGUUACUCGCUCUCUCACGGAGAAGUGCUUGCUGCCGAUUGGCAAGGAGCACCCGACGUUGCUCAUCUACAUUUUCCAACUUCUCCACCGAUUUUUCGCUCAGCGCAAGGAGCAGGUGCGUCGGCAGCGGACGGCGGAGGCAAACGCGCGCAAUACCCGUGAUGAUGUAGUGGAGUCAAAGCAAUGGCUCUACUACGCAAAAGACGUGACCAAGUUUAUACGGAGUCACGUGCUGGACAGCCACUUGUGGAAGCGCGACAAGGCGCUUUUCCUCGCAACGGCAGAGGUGGCGAUGAGCAUCUUUGAAAGCGGCGCCGACAACCGUACAGCGCAGAGCUUUCUCAUUUCCAUUGUCAACCUCACCACCGACACCGCAGUUCUACCGGAGGUGGAGGCAGCCUUGUCGGAGGUGCGCGUGGUAGUAUACUCGCGGCUCGUCUCGUACGUGACCCUGACACCGGACGGCGAGCUGACGCCGUGCGAACGUGAAAACGUGGCGUACGCGAUCAGCGAGCCCUACGUGAGGCUCUUUCCCAAUCUCACGCCAUCCUUGACCAUGGCCGGGAUUUCACAGGAGCAGCAGGAGACGCUGAACGCACACCUCCUAAUCGUGGGCAACUUUGCUGGGCAGCGCCGGAAGGUGAAGGAGUUCUUGAUCAACAUAGCAAAGGCGGACGCCGGGGCGUCCGGGCGAGUCUGAGACUGGACUUUUCAGCAGCGAAGGUCGAAGUGUGUGUGUGUGUUAUGAUACCCCGGCGUCUCUGAAUUGUGAGCGUGCGCAUUUGAGAUGCUUGUGUGUGUGUGCGAGUGUGUUACCAAAGGCACGGCGUUGAGGCGGCGAGGGAGAGAGGGACUUGUGUGGCGAAAUCGGGGUGGAGGAGGAGAGGUGUGAUGGAAACAGAUGGGGUAGGUUCUAGGGGCUUGGCGGGAAGAGCGGGGUGCUGUCACAUGCACGUGUAAGACACGCUGCUCUAUGCAGACGCGUCGGCUGAGGUCGUGCUGUUGCUGUACAUCAUCCCCUCCUUAGCGACCUCUCCUCCUGCCUCGCAGAUGUUCUGUACCAUGUGCGUUAGUUUUCCCCCUUUUUCUCUGCUUUGGCGAAG
rnacentral:misc_RNA from 1 species